AGUGUUCAGGCUUAUGACAGAUGGGAUUGAUCCUAUUCCUGGCAAAGUCACUGGCAAAAUUUCCAUGGCUGCAUUGGUAUGAAGCAUUACAUCUCUGGUUGUAGCUGGGAUCAGGGCAGAGCUCCAGCUAGAUGGGAUGGGACAGGCAUCUCCUCAAUUAGGUUUCCAGCAUUCUGGAAUCUAUAGUUAGUCUCCUAAUUGAAACUGCAUAAACCCAGGUGCCAGCAGCCCCUAUCCCUAAUCCAGGUAAAGCCCUUUUGCCCUCCACAAGAAGAACCAGAUCUUC